rnacentral:misc_RNA from 1 species
UUGUAAUGGCAUUAGAUCAAGUUCUUUGCAUACUACUAUGCAAUUGCAUAGGUAUCGCAUGACCUUGGUGUCACACAAUCUAACAUAAGACCUUCAAUGAUGAAGGUUUAGGUUCUAUUGGGAAUCAUUAAGUUUUGUUAAACUUAUCCCAUUUUGAACUUCCUUAAGUUGAUUAACAUUCGAGGAUGCAUGUUCUUAAAGAGGGAGAAUGUAAUACCCACGAGUCCCGAAACUCGUAUCGAAGAACUGGUGGGAGUUUAGGGUUAGAAAGUCCUUCUCGUAUGUUAACCCUAGUCUCAUAUAGUGUCUUAUGUGAUUUGUGGAAGUUAAAUUGUUCGUUUUAAAGUCAAGUUUAGAAAGGCUAAUCAAAGCACUUUUGGUGGUCAAAAGUACAACUUUUGGCCGCUGCAAAGUGAUAGGUAUCUGGUAGGUCGUGGUCUAUAAAAAAAAGGCUAGUAAA